CAUUUCACUUUCUUCUACACAACAGCAGGUUCCAAGAACUGGUUAGCAUCAUCUGCACAAGCUUGAUGGAAAAUCAAGAUUUUUCUUUUUCUUUUUUGGUUUUGUGAUUUUGUUUGUAUCCAGGUGUUUGAACCACAUUAGGCUGGAGCAUGAUUAAGAGAGACUUAUUGCCCCUACUGUGUACUGAGUUCUCUUACAUAAUUUCUUUAAAUGCAUUGCUGUUCAUUCAUAGGAUUUCAAUUUAAUACCCUGUGGAUAUUGUUUCAUUCACUAGAAAUUUAAGCUUUGCAUUCGAAAGAGUUAAGGUCCUUUCCUUUCAUAUGAUGGAAAAACUCAAUUAUUUGCCAAACGACCUUUGAACUAAAUGGCACCUCCUCCCUCCAUAAGAAUGUGAUGGUGAGUGGAAGUAUGGGUUUUAUGUGUUGUGUAAGAAGCGGGUUCAACACAUGAAAAUCUGAUUUGUUAUUAGGUUUUGGAGACCUGCCCUGUUUUCACUUACUCCCUCGGGUCAUGAGAGUUUAUAGGUUAUUGUUUAUGAUUAAUGUUUCUCCUGAUAGAGUAGAAUGUAGCGUGGGUGCAUUAGGGCUUGGAAACCUAAUGCUUGAUUUAGGUUUUGUUGUAUAUCUAAUUUUUUUUGGGAAUAAAAUUUACUUAUCCAAAAGAAAAACAAAAAAGCUCAAUUGUCACUGCAGCCUAUAUAUUUACUUGCCUGUCUUGAAAAUUUGAAAGUAAAGAUCAAGACGGUCAUUACAUAGAUUUGGUUUUAAUUAGGUCCGGCGUGAGUAUAAUUAGUUUUGUUUUAUGUGUGUUAGAUUGGUUGUUAGAUUGAGAUGGGACCAUUUCAUGUGAUUGACAUUGGUUUCAGAUUGGUUCUUUGCUUGUUUGGACUUUUCUUUUUGGUAUGAUGUUGAAAAUAAAUCCAAUUGCAUUUUGUAUUUUGAGCCUGUCAACUGUUCGAUGAAAUGCUCGGGUGAAAAACAGCCUCUCUACUCUAGUAUAAGAAAAACGGCCUGCCAACAUCAGAAGAACUCUUGCUGAUUGUUCUUGAACCUUACUGUCACAUAUUUGAUAAUCCAAAGCUGUUAUCAUUGCCCCAACCACUUCUUCUCUAUAUACAUUGAACUCCAUAGUAUUACCCUGCAGCAUAAGUGCUAUUGGUUAUGGGAAUUUCUCAAGAAUGCACAACUUUAUCAUACAAAUGGCUUGUUUGGUCUCUCAGAAUAUUUGACUAACAUUUUAUGUUUGUAUGACAAUGAAUGUGCAAGACUUAGAAGGUGCUAAUACUGGUCUUGUAUUCAUUUGAGUGGUGAUGGGAGAAACGUUGUGUAGAGCUAACUAAAUGACUUCGUGUGGAUCUAACAAAAUGUUUUGUGCAAACGUUUACAUUUGAUGCCAUCUCAAGUGGAAGGGAGAAACACCUCCUACUGAGAGAAAAAAAACUCUCAAUUCCCACCUCACAAACCCUAGCUAUGCCUUGUCCAUCUACAAUAUAUGUGUUGAGGGAAGCACAAGAGGAUAUGAUGAAUGAGGAGAGUGGAGGUGGGAGGAUUGGCUUGUGGAUGGGACAAACCAUGUUAAUGGUCCUUCCUCGAGUCAAGAUUGGGACAAUGGGGUAGGGGAGUCUAUGGAAGAUGUGCGGGCAGAUCCCACUGAGAUGGUUCCUGCGAACGGUUUGGCUGAGUCUGUGGGGGAUUUGGUCCUUGGACGGGAAUAUGAUGAUAUGCUCUACGAAGACCAAGUAUUUCGAUAUGCCUCACUGAAUUCGGUAUGUUGCAGUUGCAAAUGAACCUUUCUUGUCGACAUACAAUGGAAAGCUUCAAUCUGCCUUGAUAAAAGCUGGUCUUAGCAACAGAGUGAAGGUGACAAUCCCCCUUAAUGCUGAUGUGUAUGCGAGCUCAACUGAGCUUCCUUCUGGUGGUGACUUCUGUGCUGACAUCCACGACCUAAUGCUUGGCAUUGUCAAGUUCUUGAAUGACAAUGGUGCUGCUCCCUUCACUGUGAACAUCUAUCCAUUUAUAAGCCUCAACACUGACGCCAACUUCCCCGUUGAGUAUCCCUUCUUUGAUGGCAGUGCAUCACCUUUAGUUGAUGGUGGGGCGAGCUACUACAAUAGGUGAUUGCUAUCAUCCACUCCUUAGCUUAGUAGCUCCAUUGUGUCUGGCUAAAGCUGUACAAAGUCAUGAACAUCAACGUCUGUAAACAGAAUUUACAAUUGUAAACAAACUUUACAGUUGUAAACAAAGUUUACAGGUGAAGAGGGUGAGCUUCACUAACUCAGUAAGUAAACGCACAAAAUGUGAUAAAUCAUAAGUUGCAAACAUUUAUUGGAAACAAUUCUUUAUUGCAAGUCAUAAUAAAGCAUGCAAAAUAAUUAUUUUGAAAAUUAUGUAACCAACUCUAAGCAUAAACUUGGAAGAGAAUAACUUCAAUGUGGUCCAUGCAUAAAAGUGGACUUUUGUGGAAACUAUUUAGUGGUUGCCACAUUAGCUAGAACAUUCUAACAAAAAAAUAAACACCCACACUUAAUUAUAUCAGGUUUUAUUAUUUUUUAAAACAAAACAAAUGGAGAGGGUGGCAAAGGGAGGUGGGGCGGUUCGUCGCCACCCCCAGUGGCCGGAGGUGGCCGCGAGCUGCCCCUAGUGGCCGAGUGUGGCCACGAGCCAACCCCAGCGGCUUGGGGGAGAGAGAUUCGGCCACUGGGGGUGGAUCGCGGCCACCCCCAGCGGCCUGGGGGUUGGCCGCGAUCCACCCCCAGCGGUCUACUCCAAGCCGCUGGGGGUGGCCGGAUCUCUCUCCCCCAGGUUGUCGGAUCUCUCUCCCCCAAGCCGUUGGGGUGGAUCGCGGCCACCCUCAGGCAGCUGGGGGUGGCCGAAUCUCUCUCCCCCAGGCCGUUGGGUGGAUCGCGGCCACCCCCUGCGGCCUUGGGGUGGUCGGAUCUCUCUCCCCCAGGCCGUUGAGGUGGAUUGCGGCCACCCCUAGGCCUUUGGGGGCGAAUCGCAGCCAACCCCUAGGCCUGGGUGGCGGCGACAGGGAGAGGCUGGGCGGUGUCUGGGCGUGAGCAGUGGAUGGAACCGGUAGGGAGUGGUGGCUAAUGUCUUCGAGGGAAAAUUAAUCCUAUUUUUUGCUUACAUACAUUUUUUUUUGCAUUUUUCUUAAAAUGUUGAUGUGUCAAAAUUUGUGUGGUUUGCACUAAAGCUCUCUUUUGUGCAACGACCACACAAGAUGCACUCAACUUGGAAUCAUGUGAAGCUUAUAAAUCAAUCAAAGCUUUCCUUCCCUUUUUCAUGAGCAAAAAACCCAUAAACCUAGGCCCAUAAAAGGUUGGGGAGGCUGCACGGAUGCCACUAGGCAUGAUUAGUCAUGAUGAAUAUAUAUGUCUAUGAUCAUUUCACUCACCUUCCUUCUUUCUUCUCACCUACGGCUGUAAUUUGUUAGUUAAGAACUGCGCAUAUAUAUAUAUAGCUCUGCUCAUCAAUCAUCAAACCAUCAAACCCUCAAUUUGCUUUCAACGUUUCCACCUACGAGUCGAGCUUUUGUUUCUUGGUGCACUAAAAGCGAUGGAGGUAGUUUCUAUAUAUAAUGUAAUCUCUUCGCAUUGGUUGCUGUUUUCUCUUAUUCAAACAAAAUCGCUAUGAAACUCAUUACAGGUUGUUGAGCUGAAGGUACGCCUGCACUGCAAAGCUUGUGAGAAAGCAGUCCGCAAAGCCUUGUGCAAGAUUAAAGGGGUAACUUGCGUGGAAAUAGAUGUGGUAUUGAACAAGAUCACAGUGCUGGGCUACAUUGACCGUAAAGUUGUGGUGAAAGCUGUGCGCAAGACAGGAAGAAGAGCUGAGGUGGUAUGGCCAUCAUCAUGUCACUGGGAGAAGGCUGAGAAGCCCAGAUCACUUCCAACUGGUUUUGGGUGCGUCAUCCCUAGAUGGGGUUUCUAAACUUAAUUUAAAAUUAAUGUAAUCUUUUGGUUGCAAGAAUGAGAAAAAUAAUAAAUUCAUUUUCCCUACAUUAUUUCA